rnacentral:rRNA from 1 species
AGAGUUUGAUCCUGGCUCAGAACGUACGCUGGCGGCACGCCUAAUACAUGCAAGUCGAACGAAGUAGCAAUACUUAGUGGCAGACGGGUGAGUAACAUGUAGGUAUCUACCCUUUGGCCUGGAAUAACACGAGGAAACUUGUGCUAAUACCGGAUAAGUCUUUACGGAGAAAGCUUUAUGCACCAGUGGAUGAGCCUGCACUUGAUUAGUUUGUUGGUGGGGUAAUGGCCUACCAAGACAAUGAUCAAUAGCUGAUUUGAGAGGAUGAUCAGCCACAUUGGGACUGAGACACGGCCCAAACUCCUACGGGAGGCAGCAGUAGGGAAUCUUGCACAAUGGAGGAAACUCUGAUGCAGCGAUGCCGCGUGAGUGAAGAAGGCCUUUGGGUUGUAAAGCUCUUUCGUCGGGGAAGAAAAUGACUGUACCCGAAUAAGAAGGUCCGGCUAACUUCGUGCCAGCAGCCGCGGUAAUACGAAGGGACCUAGCGUAGUUCGGAAUUACUGGGCUUAAAGAGUUCGUAGGUGGUUAAAAAAGUUGGUGGUGAAAUCCCAGAGCUUAACUCUGGAACUGCCAUCAAAACUUUUUAGCUAGAGUAUGAUAGAGGAAAGCAGAAUUUCUAGUGUAGAGGUGAAAUUCGUAGAUAUUAGAAAGAAUACCGAUUGCGAAGGCAGCUUUCUGGAUCAUUACUGACACUGAGGAACGAAAGCAUGGGUAGCGAAGAGGAUUAGAUACCCUCGUAGUCCAUGCCGUAAACGAUGUGUGUUAGACGUUGGAAAUUUAUUUUCAGUGUCGCAGCGAAAGCGAUAAACACACCGCCUGGGGAGUACGACCGCAAGGUUAAAACUCAAAUGAAUUGACGGGGACCCGCACAAGUAGUGGAGCAUGUGGUUUAAUUCGAAGAUACGCGCAGAACCUUACCAACACUUGACAUGUUCGUCGCGACUCUAAGAGAUUAGAGUUUUCGGUUCGGCCGGACGAAACACAGGUGCUGCAUGGCUGUCGUCAGCUCGUGUCGUGAGAUGUUGGGUUAAGUCCCGCAACGAGCGCAACCCUUACUUUUAGUUGCCAUCAUUUAGUUGGGCACUCUGAAAGAACUGCCAGUGAUAAGCUGGAGGAAGGUGGGGAUGACGUCAAGUCCUCAUGGCCCUUAUGUGUUGGGCUACACACGUGCUACAAUGGUAUCUACAACAGGAAGCAAGAUGGCAACAUUAAGCAAAUCCCAAAAAGAUACCUCAGUUCGGAUUGCACUCUGCAACUCGAGUGCAUGAAGCUGGAAUUACUAGUAAUCGUGGAUCAGCGUGCCACGGUGAAUACGUUCCCGGGUCUUGUACACACCGCCCGUCACACCAUGGGAGUUGGUUCUACCUUAAGGCAAGGUUUUAAACCCUUGACCACGGUAUAGUCAGCGACUGGGGUGAAGUCGUAACAAGGUAACC